GGAAGGGGUGUAUUUAUUAGAUUAAAAACCAAUGCCCUUCGGGGCUCUCUGGUGAUUCAUAAUAACUUCUCGAAUCGCACGGCCUUGCGCCGGCGAUGGUUCAUUCAAAUUUCUGCCCUAUCAACUUUCGACGGCUGGGUCUUGGCCAGCCAUGGUGGCAACGGGUAACGGGGAAUUAGGGUUCGAUUCCGGAGAGGGAGCCUGAGAAACGGCUACCACGUUUACGGAUGGCAGCAGGCGCGCAAAUUACCCAAUCCCAAUACGGGGAGGUAGUGACAAAAAAUACUGAUACAGGGCUCUUUCGGGUCUUGUAAUUGGAAUGAGUUCAAUCUUAAACCCCUUGACGAGGAACAAUUGGAGGGCAAGUCUGGUGCCAGCAGCCGCGGUAAUUCCAGCUCCAAUAGCGUAUAUUAAAGUUGUUGCAGUUAAAAAGCUCGUAGUUGAACCUUGGGUUCGGCUGGUGGUCCGCCUCGCGGCGUGUACUAAUCGGCGGAGCCUUUCCUCCUGGAGAACCGCAUGCCCUUCACUGGGUGUGCCGGGGAACCAGGACUUUUACA
rnacentral:rRNA from 1 species